rnacentral:tRNA from 3 species
GGAGGAAUACCCAAGUCCGGCUGAAGGGAUCGGUCUUGAAAACCGACAGGCGGGUUAAACCGCGCGGGGGUUCGAAUCCCUCUUCCUCCUCCA